CGCAUUCCUAUAAGCUUCAAAAAUUCUUUCAACUUAUUUUUAAAUGACUUGUUUUGAGAGUCUAAAGGGCCAUGUACUUUCUUACCAACUUAUGUGAGAAGAUAAUAGUUUACAGAGAAAUUCAGUGAAGCAGUUAAAAAAAAGCUUAAAAAAAUUUUUUUAAAGAGUAGAGCAGUAAUAGUGAUGUCAAACAGUAUCCCUGAGUUUCCACUCCCACUUAAACCAGCCCCAGGCCCAGCAUGGCCGUUUCUCCUCGUCAGCCAGAAGGAACAGGAGAGUGAAAAUCAGUCCUGUAUUUCACUGACUCUUAGACACACUUCUCUUCACCACCUGUUAAUAAAAUAUCCCCUUGGAAGGGAGCCAGUCUUCUCUCAGGCAGUUCAGACUUUCUGAAAUAGAGGAAAAUUGCAAAGGGAAGGUAGCAGAGGAAUAUAGAAGUAAAAAAUUAACUUUGGGGGG
rnacentral:lncRNA from 1 species